UCAACCUCACCAGCCGCUUCACCCUCUUCCUGCAUCGCGACGCGGUCAUCAUCGGCUCCCAGGUCACGGGUUCAUUGAUUUCUUCUUUCUUUGUUUGUUUAGACAGUAAUUAAUACAGUAGUAGCAGUGUGAAAUGCUGCAUCGGCUUCGCUGUAGGAGCUAGGAUUCUAUUCUAGGAGGUGGUUUGGAAUUUUGCUCAGCGUUUCUGAUCAAGCAUGCAAUGCAUGCGCACAACAAACCGCGUGGUUUAAUUUGCUUGCUCGAUCAGUGGCCUGGCCAUGCAUGGACAAGAAAUUUCUUCGUUACAUUGGUCGGUUCAGAAAUUUCCAAAGCCUUGCGUAACCGGCCCUCCAAACAUUGGGAUGCUCGUCGUCGUUAAACUAGGUAGAUUCGGCGCUUGUGCUGUCACAUGCAUGCCAUGAUCCGUGUGCAGACAGAUAAAUGUAUUGGAGAAGUCACAUGCUUGGCCAUGGAUGGCCGCCUGGCUCUUUGCUGGUUCUUCCUUGUGAACUCUGCUACCACAUUAUCUGUGUGCCUUUGCUUUGUCUCCACUGCAUGCUAUGCUGCUUCCAUUCCACCUGGACUGGGGUUGAAGCCUCUUUUGUACUUUACAUUGCUUCCACCUUCCUCUUAUCUGUCUGUGCUAAAGCCAAUAGAGAGGGUCAAAAAAAACUUUGGUUUGGAGCCUUGUGCAGGAGCCAAUCCCCAAUUUUUGGUCCAUCUGAUCUGAUAGCCAUGCCUGUGCUGACUGUUCAGUGGGGCGGUAUAUUGUGCAGACUUAUUUGCACCAGGGGACUUUAGUAAUAAGAAUUGGUUGCACAAAGGAACUAGCAUCGUUGAGAAGGUAGUUGUGUCACUUCUCCUGCUACAGCUACUUCCAAUUCCAACAGAACAAACAAGCUUUCCAUUCCACGUGUUAAAUACACCUUUGUCGAGUUUCCAACUACAAGUGGAGUACAGUUGGGAGGAAUUUGCUGGGAAAUGGUGAGCUUCAGUUAGAACACACUGAAAAUAAUAAUCGUAAGCCAUCUUGCGUCUUUUGCAGCUAAUGCCUGUUCCAAAAUAUUGUGAACACCAGUCUAUGCCCAUUUUGUUUGUUUGUUUGUUUUUCCAUCUGUGUCAACCAAGGCAAAAAGACACAGCUGCAUGCGUGAUCUGUAUUACAGUACUGUAGAUCUGUAGUACAGUACUGUAGAGUCAUUAUCAGUCCAUUAUGCGGGAGGGAGCGGUUAGGACCACGCCACAUCAGCCUCAUUCACGGAGAGGGCUUAAACGAUGUUGUUAUUACCGGUAGCAACGGGACCAUAGAUGGGCAAGGUCAUAUGUGGUGGGAGCUAUGGCGGAACCGAACCUUGAACCACACGAGAGGCCAUCUCAUCGAGCUUGUGAACUCAAACAACGGGAUUGAAUGAAGUUACUGGUAUGACCUUGUCGAGACUGAAGCAAGGAGGGACAGAGCUAAAAACUCUCUUGACAGUAAGUUCUAGAUACCUUAGUUUUGUGCUCAUGAACCUUCUCUCUUGUGCUAGUACUCUAUAAGUUCUAGAUACCUUAGUUUGAUGUACAUAGGUUUCUAGAUAACUUAGUUUUGUGCUCAUGAACCUUCUCUCUUGUGCUGCUACUCUAUAAACCUUAGUUUUAUGCUCAUGAACCUUCUCUCUUAUGCUGCUACUCUAUAAUAUAAGUGCCACCUAUAGUAAUGUCUUAGCCAAAUACGUUUAUUAUUUUCUUAGACAAAAAAUAAAGCCACAUGUUCUCUCUCCAUGAUCUGACCAUGCGCUCAGACAUAACUUGGAAUUAUCUGAUUAUUUUCUGCCUACCAAUAAGGUUAUAGCCUUAUAGGCAGUCAACGAUAUAUUUUUUUAUUCUUGAUGUUCUUGAUCUACGGUGCAUUUUUGCUGAAUAUUCAACACAAAUAUCAGUGCAUAUAUCUUCAUAUUAACAAGAGAAUGAAACAGUCGCAUACAACACAACCCCCUUAUCUCAGAAGAGAAUAGGAAAAGGUUGCCUAAAAGACUAGGAAAGAACACCUAAAAGAAGCUAAUAUAUUAUAAAAGUUCAGAUCAUGUCAUGUAACAUGUGGUUCUUUAAUUGGCUAUGACAAUAUGGUAAUCAGAUGGUUAUUAUAGCAUUACCAACAGCCCAACAUGUUCUAAUCAGGGUAUCUUCUGUACCAUGUUAAUUGAAAUUGUCUAUUUGCCAUUCAUAUUGUUUACUGUGCUUAUGGCCAUGAGCACCAAAUCUGUGGAAGCAGAGCGUAUUAUCUGAAUUAGUAUUGGAAUAUUGUUAUUGUGCCAAUUUUGGUUCUACCCUUGUCUAUUUUGCCCUACAGUGGAUAUUGUUAUUGUGUCAAUUCUUAUAGUUUUGCAUAGUUUACGGUAUAUGUACUUUUACUUAAGUACAAUGCUCAUCAUGAAGAGUACUCUAGCCUGGUUUGCACUUGCAGGUUAUCUUCUCAGACAUCAAUGCUUACGAGGUGGACCUUGAUACUGAUGAGAAGCACUGUUUCUGCCGGGAGUUAGAUCUGUUAGCUGUAGUCGAAGGAAUUUUACCAUGAAAAUUACGGACUUACCUACCCAUGCUCCAACUGCAUGGACUUAUCUUGCCCCUACAUUGUUGUACUUGAACUCGGCUUCUAGAUUAGUGUUAGUUACCAGUGAAUUUUGGUUGCAAUAAACAGGAAUUGUGUUAAUGCCCUAUUUCUUCACAGCACACUCUCACAAAGUGCUCAGAUUUGGAUACGAAAUCUUAAGCAAAACUUACAAGAUGAAAUGCUUACAUUGUUCAUCUGGUGUUCAAGAUUCUGAACAUUCUCCAAGCACUGUCGUUAUUAUAUCAACCAGGGACUGCAGAUUUUAUAUAUUUAUUGUGUUGAUGCUUAUCAUGUGUAGCCGAAUAAAUCAGGCUUUAUUCUUUGGGUAUUGACCAGGUUAUGAUAUAACCUUAUUAUAUAUAUGUAGCCGAAAGACGUUCUGGUUGGCUUAUGUUUGUAUGAAUAAUUCUUAUUCAAAAUUGUAUAUUUUUAUACAAGACUAUUGUUUAUAAGGUCCAGUUUAAGGGGUACUACUAUGUAGAUCUAUCAUGAAAACCUCAUGAGUCACUAGGAGUAUGUUUAUGUAUCUAUCAUCUUUUUGUAUUAAUGUUUUAUGAUGUUUUUAAUUUCUAUGUCAAAGCAUAGACACAUAUCUAUACAUUUUUUAUGUAUGUAAACCUCCUUUAUCUUUAAAAGAUGCUAACAAAUGCAUAGAACGACAAUUAUUGCUUCUGCAUUUCAAUGUGUUUUAUUAUAACAUGUUGAUACCGUAGCAACGCACGGGUACAUAACUA